UACAGAGGGUGCAAGCGUUAAUCGGAAUUACUGGGCGUAAAGCGCGCGUAGGUGGUUCGUUAAGUUGGAUGUGAAAUCCCCGGGCUCAACCUGGGAACUGCAUUCAAAACUGACGAGCUAGAGUAUGGUAGAGGGUGGUGGAAUUUCCUGUGUAGCGGUGAAAUGCGUAGAUAUAGGAAGGAACACCAGUGGCGAAGGCGACCACCUGGACUGAUACUGACACUGAGAGACGAAAGCUAGGGGAGCGAAUGGG
rnacentral:rRNA from 1 species